GGUUAUUUCCAUUUCUAUUUCAAUCUAUUCUGAUUCUGAUUCUAAUUUAAUUCCGAUCGAGAACCGAACACAACCAUCUAAUUAUCAUAACUCAAGUAGAUCAAUAUAAACCCCACUCAUAGAUCUAAAACAAAAACUAAAGUAUGAAUAUGAAAAGAGAUUCACAUCAAAAAAGCAUAUUGAAAUCUAAUUCUCAAGGGCUGCAGUCUAUCUAGGCCUCAGAUGAGCUAGAAAAUUAAAUGUAGCCAAUGAAUUUAUAUAAAGGAAAGGGGC
rnacentral:lncRNA from 1 species